GUAGGUGGCAAGCGUUGUCCGGAAUUAUUGGGCGUAAAGCGCGCGCAGGCGGUUCUUUAAGUCUGAUGUGAAAGCCCACGGCUCAACCGUGGAGGGUCAUUGGAAACUGGAGAACUUGAGUACAGAAGAGGAAAGCGGAAUUCCACGUGUAGCGGUGAAAUGCGUAGAGAUGUGGAGGAACACCAGUGGCGAAGGCGGCUUUCUGGUCUGUAACUGACGCUGAGGCGCGAAAGCGUGGGGAGCAAACAGGGAUUAGAUACCCUGGUAGUCCACGCCGUAAACGAUGAGUGCUAAGUGUUAGGGGGUUCCCCGCCCCCUCAGUGCUGCGGCUAACGCAUUAAGCACUCCGCCUGGGGAGUACGGCCGCAAGGCUG
rnacentral:rRNA from 1 species